CUCCUCCUUGCCCUCUUCUGUGUUUCUUUCCACUCCCUACAUUAUAUUAUAGUGACUGGACACUUGGGAUAAUUCGAGUCAGUUAAUGUUUGAAAUACACACAGAGUGAAACAAAAGUUCACAAAGUACAGCCUGCUGUUUGUCACCCAGUGCUCAAUGACUGAAAUAGAGCAGAAGAUGGGCCAAGAAGGGUCCAUCUGAUGGACCUCAGUGCUCAAAGUAGGCUCCAGGGUCCUGGAUUCAGGGUCACAGAAUGGCCAGUGACCCCAGGCUGGUGCUGCCUUCAAACAGAAACCUAAGUAUAUAAAUUGCCAUUUAAAUAAUUUUUCAAAAUGGUAAACUCAUUUAGCAGGCCACCAAGAUAAAUCUGCUCUUGGGAAUUGCAUCUCCUCGUGCCUGGGAGCAGAAAGGGGUAUUGAUCAGGAUCUGUGAGCUGCAGACCCCAUGCCAAUCCAUAGCGUUUCUGGCAAUCAGCGUCGCCCAUGAAUUGCAGCUGUUCUGUGCAGCUCCCGAACAGAAAUCUUCAAAAAAAGUCCCCCCCUUAUCAAACACAUCAUCCAUUCGGGGUCUUUGCUGCCAUGAACUGUUGCUCCUCUGCCAUGUGCCACCCUGCCUUGGAGCCAGCCGAUUAUGGACUGAAACUGCUACAAAUUGUGAGCUAAAUAAAACCUUUUCCCCUCUAACUUUGGAUGCCGGUAUUUUGUCUUAACAAUGAGAGAAAAGUAACUAAGAACAGAC
rnacentral:lncRNA from 1 species